UACGUAGGGUGCAAGCGUUAAUCGGAAUUACUGGGCGUAAAGCGUGCGCAGGCGGUGAUGUAAGACAGGUGUGAAAUCCCCGGGCUUAACCUGGGAAUUGCAUUUGUGACUGCACGGCUAGAGUGUGUCAGAGGGGGGUAGAAUUCCACGUGUAGCAGUGAAAUGCGUAGAUAUGUGGAGGAAUACCGAUGGCGAAGGCAGCCCCCUGGGAUAACACUGACGCUCAUGCCACGAAAGCGUGGGGAGCAAACAGG
rnacentral:rRNA from 1 species